GACGAACGCUGGCGGCGUGCUUAACACAUGCAAGUCGAACGGAAAGGCCUUUUCGGAGGUACUCGAGUGGCGAACGGGUGCGUAACACGUGGGUGAUCUGCCCUGCCCUCUGGGAUAAGCCUGGGAAACUGGGUCUAAUACCGGAUAGGACCGCACUUUAGUGUGUGUGGUGGAAAGUUUUUUCGGUGUAGGAUGAGCCCGCGGCCUAUCAGCUUGUUGGUGGGGUAAUGGCCUACCAAGGCGGCGACGGGUAGCCGGACUGAGAGGUUGGUCGGCCACAUUGGGACUGAGAUACGGCCCAGACUCCUACGGGAGGCAGCAGUGGGGAAUAUUGCACAAUGGGCGCAAGCCUGAUGCAGCGACGCCGCGUGGGGGAUGACGGCCUUCGGGUUGUAAACUCCUUUCGCCAGGGACGAAGCGUUUUGGGACGGUACCUGGAGAAGAAGCACCGGCUAACUACGU
rnacentral:rRNA from 1 species